UGGUGUGAUUUUUUUUCCUCUGAGAUAA
rnacentral:piRNA from 1 species